GAUGAACGCUGGCGGCGUGCCUAAUACAUGCAAGUCGAGCGAACAGACGAGGAGCUUGCUCCUCUGACGUUAGCGGCGGACGGGUGAGUAACACGUGGAUAACCUACCUAUAAGACUGGGAUAACUUCGGGAAACCGGAGCUAAUACCGGAUAAUAUAUUGAACCGCAUGGUUCAAUAGUGAAAGACGGUUUUGCUGUCACUUAUAGAUGGAUCCGCGCCGCAUUAGCUAGUUGGUAAGGUAACGGCUUACCAAGGCGACGAUGCGUAGCCGACCUGAGAGGGUGCUCGGCCACACUGGAACUGAGACACGGUCCAGACUCCUACGGGAGGCAGCAGUAGGGAAUCUUCCGCAAUGGGCGAAAGCCUGACGGAGCAACGCCGCGUGAGUGAUGAAGGUCUUCGGAUCGUAAAACUCUGUUAUUAGGGAAGAACAAAUGUGUAAGUAACUAUGCACGUCUUGACGGUACCUAAUCAGAAAGCCACGGCUAACUACGU
rnacentral:rRNA from 1 species